GAUCUUUAUGACGCAGUGCAAAUUUGUGCCGCUACUCGUGGGGUCUUGUGACCCCUGCAUUCUACAGGUGGUGGUAUCAAAAUUCAAAUAUUUGGAGCAUUUCAGGUACGACAGGUCAGAAAGAGACAAACUUAGGACAUAUGUUUCACAACCUAACGAAGAUCCAUGAACCGGUACUCACUUUUAGAUCUUUGAAUGAAAUUUGUGUCUGCGCAGAUACCCAUAGCGACGAAAGUGAGAGGAUUACAAAUAUGAGCAACUUAAGCAUGAUUCGACUUUCAAUUGAGCUGCGAAUGAGCUGAAACACAACAAAAUAAGGGAAUUGUGUGAAUGGAAAUCACUAGAACUGUCAACUGCCUGAACAUACACAAUUUCGAGAGGAAUUAACAUCACACAUGCUUGUGAAGAAAGGUUUUCUGUUUCCAGCUGCAAUAAUCAUUAUUUAAAUAGAUACAAAUAAUCCGGUUACAACAGAUCGACUGCUACCCUGCCACUCACAUAUGUAUACACCACACUGCUGACUGCACCUGUAUUUUACCAGUAUUUAACUGACGUGGUAAAGUUUCUCGAGAAUCUAGCGCCAUCAUCGGCGGAAAAGAACAAGUUGGAACGUUGUAAAGUCUGAUCAGGGGAUACGAAAAACUGAUCGAACCCUAUAACAAGGACAGCUUGGAUUGAAAAAUAAUCUGAAAUAUCUGUGGGAAGAAUGGCGGAUGAAGAAAAUAAUAUUGAGUUUCGAACGUUAGUAGAAGCAAAAACUGUGUUACGUAUAUACUACUUAUGUACCAGGCAU